AACGAAUAAUAAGACCAGUCAAUAUGAAGCCAAGAGUUUGCUCAAUUUGCAACGCGUAAACACCAUAACAUGUCAAAAAUUACCAUAUCUCACCAGCUGUACUCUGUGUGUUCCCCGAUGCCCUAUUGGCUUACUACUUUUCACCACCCCAAAGGAUAACAUCAACUCUCUCAUCAAAACCCUUUUUUUCUUCUGAAACCGCCAUUCCUAAAUCCUACUUGCUUUCCUUUUUCUGUCAAUCUCUCUGUUAAAACGUACACCCCACUCACACUCUCUUUCUCUUUCUUCACCUCAAACCCUAGUUUCACCUCAAGACAGAUAUACCCUAUUCUUCUUUCUCUCUCUAGCUUCUCGUACUAUACAGGUGGCUUAAAGUUUUUGCGUACAGGUUUGAAAGAUUGCAUCUUGCCUGAUUUGUGUACAAGUUUUGGGUUUGGUGUUUCAAGUUGUUGGGUUUAUUUUUGGGUGUAGAGUACAGUUGGACAGAUCUGGAGAUUUUGAGGAUUAGGGUUUUCAUGCAAAUGGGUUCAGCAAGUGGAUAAAGGUUAUCGUUUUGUUUUCUUUGGAUUCUAUCUACGUAGUGGAUCUUUAAAUUUCUGUAGGUAGCUAUCAGACAAGUUGGAUAUAUCUUGUAAGAGAUAUUGUUUUCAAGAAGUUGUUUUUAUUUUCUGUUGAUAUUUUCGCUUGUUGGACCAUGGCGAAUCGAUGGUGGGCUGGAAAUGUAGGGUUGAAUCAUCAGAUGACAUCUUCGGGACAACCUCCGUCGCUACACUUGAGGGACACGGCGGAGGAGGAGAAGCCGCGGUUGAACAGGGUUGGGCAGGUUAGGAUGGAGCAAGAGUUCUUGGAAAAUGCGACGAAUAGUACAGGAAGCAAUUCGAACAAGAACCAUAACCAUAUCCCCAUGAAUGAUGAUCACGAUGAAAAUGAUGAAGAGUUUGAAGAACAGGAACAUAAUAAUGUCGGGGGUGGAGGGUCGUUGGAGAUCUCGGAACCGACGAGCUCUGGCGGUGGUCGGCGGCCGAGAGGGAGACCACCUGGUUCAAAGAACAAGCCGAAACCACCCAUUGUGAUCACUAAAGAGAGCCCCAACGCUCUCCGGAGCCACGUAUUGGAAAUCAGCAGUGGUAGUGACAUUUCCGAGUGUAUAGCAACAUUCGCACAGCGGCGCCACCGUGGCGUUUCGGUAUUAAGCGGCACUGGCAUCGUAACCAACGUCACCCUCCGACAACCGGCGGCACCAGGCGGUGUGUUAAGUCUCCAAGGGAGGUUUGAGAUUCUAUCGCUCUCGGGUGCAUUCCUCCCCGCACCAUCUCCGCCGGGGGCCACCGGGCUAACAGUGUAUUUAGCUGGCGGACAAGGUCAGGUUGUGGGUGGGACGGUGGUGGGCCAACUUGUGGCGUCUGGUCCAGUUAUGGUGAUUGCAGCCACCUUCACGAAUGCGACUUAUGAGAGGCUGCCAUUGGAAGAUGACGGAGGAGGUACAGGUGAAGGUAGUGAAAUGCAAUUACAGCAAACACAAGGGGUAAAUUCUGGAAACAGUCCUAAAUCUGGAGGGGGUGCUCCUCAGACAGACAACAUACCAUCUUCCUCGAUGCCAAUUUACAAUCAACCCCCUAAGAUAUUACCAAAUGGUCAAAUGCAUCAAGAUAUGUUUUGGGCUACACCCCCACGUCCUCCCCCAUCUAAUUUCUAGCUAUUCUCAAAGCAACUUCCUCUUUGGUAGAAGAAUAGAGUAGAAACUAAAAAAAGAUGUUAAAGAAGGAAGUAAUGGUGGUUUCAGUUUGUGUAAGAUAAAGAAGAUUGCGGGGUUCAAUCAUGUUUCACCAGCUCAUUUGCUUUGUUUCCAAGAAUCAUCCACUUGCACCAAGAGAAAAAGAUAUUUUAAUAUAUUUUCUAAUAUCGUAAUUCUAUGCAACUGUGCUUGGGUUUUCAUUGGAUUGUGAAUCUCUAUGUCAAAGAACAAUUGUUCAAGUAGAAAUAUUAGUUAGAUUGGUUAGAUAAAUAGUUAAUUAAAUUAAAUUAAUUAAAUGUCUACGUAAUCUUUUAAUGACGACUACUAAAUAUUUGGUCCGA